rnacentral:rRNA from 1 species
UACGUAGGCAGCGAGCGUUGUUCGGAAUUACUGGGCGUAAAGAGUGUGUAGGCGGUGCUCUAAGUUCGGUGUGAAAUCUCCUGGCUUAACUGGGAGGGUGCGCCGGAAACUGGAGUGCUCGAGCGUGGGAGAGGAAAGCGGAAGUUCCUGGUGUAGCGGUGAAAUGCGUAGAUAUCAGGAGGAACACCUGCGGUGUAGACGGCUUUCUGGACCAUUGCUGACGCUGAGACACGAAAGCGUGGGUAGCAAACAGG